rnacentral:rRNA from 1 species
UACGUAGGCAGCGAGCGUUGUUCGGAGUUACUGGGCGUAAAGGGUGUGUAGGCGGUGCUCUAAGUGUGGUGUGAAAUCUCCCGGCUCAACUGGGAGGGUGCGCUACGGACUGGAGUGCUCGAGUGCGGGAUGGGAGAGUGGAAUUCCUGGUGUAGCGGUGAAAUGCGUAGAUAUCAGGAGGAACACCGGUGGUGUAGGCAGCUUACUGGACCAUUUCUGACGCUGAGACACGAAAGCGUGGGUAGCAAACAGG